GACGAACGCUGGCGGCGUGCUUAACACAUGCAAGUCGAACGAUGAAGCCUAGCUUGCUAGGUGGAUUAGUGGCGAACGGGUGAGUAAUACGUGAGUAACCUACCUUUAACUCUGGGAUAAGCCCGGGAAACUGGGUCUAAUACCGGAUACGACCAAUCUCCGCAUGGGGUGUUGGUGGAAAGCGUUAUGUAGUGGUUAUAGAUGGGCUCACGGCCUAUCAGCUUGUUGGUGAGGUAACGGCUCACCAAGGCGACGACGGGUAGCCGGCCUGAGAGGGUGACCGGCCACACUGGGACUGAGACACGGCCCAGACUCCUGCGGGAGGCAGCAGUGGGGAAUAUUGCACAAUGGGCGCAAGCCUGAUGCAGCGACGCCGCGUGAGGGAUGACGGCCUUCGGGUUGUAAACCUCUGUUAGCAGGGAAGAAGAGAGAUUGACGGUACCUGCAGAGAAAGCGCCGGCUAACUACGUG
rnacentral:rRNA from 1 species